rnacentral:lncRNA from 1 species
CAGCAUGUGUUUGAAAGAGGCAACAGAGCAAGCAGAAUUGCUGCCAACAGGGGAAAGACAGAGCUAAAGGAGCAGAAGCAGAAGCACACAGGUGAUUUGUACCAUCUACCCUAUAAUGGCCAACAUUGACAACUACCCAUAAACUGGUACUACCUGUGCCUUGGACAUGUGAAGAUGGGAAGUCUUCUAUGCCAUACAUUGAAAACAGAGAAACUGUUCUGCUUUCAUGAAGAUUCACAGCAGUAACAUGCAGCUCCCGAGUAUGGUUUGUUUGGACCCAUUCACUUCAGCCUCACCACUUAAGAAACAUGGAAAUUCAGUCAUCCUGGGAAGUGGCAUUUGA